CUUUUAUGGUGGUUUCGACGUUUUUCUUGAUAGAGAGUAAUAAGCCUUUGUGAUAACCAUGUUUUUUACCAUGCUCGAGGAAAACAAAAUAAAUCUAAAAGGAUAAAUAAGUUACCUCUGACAGAUGUUGUCACAAUCUUAGGCAAUAUCCAACUACCACCCUACAUAAUGCAAGUUUUAGAAAAAGGACCAUCAAAUGCUAUUGACAGAAAGCAUAACAUCUUUGACGACAUACAAAUUUUUGAACCACUAUUAGAAGGAUUGGAUAAUAUAAUGAAAGAAAGGCUGAGGUGGCAAUUUAUCGAACAAAGAAAUAGAGCAUUGAAAUGCAGUAAUUCACAACAAAGCAACAGGUCAAUCGUUGAGACAUUGAAAUGGAUUGAAGACAACAAUGUUGUAGUGACGCGAGAAGAUAAAACCAAAAAAUUAGUCAUCAUGAAUAAGUCAUCAUGAUGAUUUUAUACUUAAGUACAUUGAAGAGUCAAAGGCAGAGAAGAUUAAUCAGGACCCAAUAAAGAAACCGAAGGCAAAGCUAAACAGACUAGUAAAAAACAAGAACUUCCCAGAAUUAUUUAAACACAAAAAAGUUAACACAGCAUCGUGCCAAAGAAUGUUUACAUAUAUUAAAACGCAUAAGACUCCUGUAGAAGUAAGACCAAUUGUUGAAAAAAGGUGUGCACCGACUUACAACUUAGAAACAAAAAUUGCCAAAUGGUCUAACAACAUCCUUAAAGAAUACAAGUAUACAGC
rnacentral:lncRNA from 1 species